rnacentral:rRNA from 1 species
AUUGAACGCUGGCGGCAUGCCUUACACAUGCAAGUCGAACGGCAGCACGGACUUCGGUCUGGUGGCGAGUGGCGAACGGGUGAGUAAUGUAUCGGAACGUACCUUUCAGUGGGGGAUAACGUAGCGAAAGUUACGCUAAUACCGCAUAUUCUGUGAGCAGGAACGCAGGGGAUCGCACGACCUUGCGCUGAUUGAGCGGCCGAUAUCAGAUUAGCUAGUUGGUGGGGUAAAGGCCUACCAAGGCUACGAUCUGUAGCGGGUCUGAGAGGAUGAUCCGCCACACUGGAACUGAGCAACGGUCCGGACUCCUACGGGAGGCAGCAGUGGGGAAUUUUGGACAAUGGGGUAAACCCUGAUCCAGCCAUGCCGCGUGCGGGAAGAAGGCCUGCUGGUUGUAAACCGCUUUUGGCAGGAACGAAACGGCGCGCGCUAAUAACGCGCGCUAAUGACGGUACCUGCAGAAUAAGCACCGGCUAACUACGUGCCAGCCGCCGCGGUAAUAC